UUUUUUUUUUUUUUUUUUUUUGUAAUUUUCAAAUUUAGCUUCUGAAGGUUUGGUCUUACUCACAGGAUACUUAUCACUUAAAAAUCACCGAGGGCUUCCAGUCAUAUGAACUACUGGAACCACAAGAGGCUGAGAGCACAGCAGAUGGCAAACUAAACAAGAGACACCACUCAAAAUCCAGGAUAUUCCCCUCAGAGAAGUGCUUAUGAGUUUAUGGAGUGCAUCACGGAGAAAAAGAGAAAAGUGAGGAUAGGUGUGGUAAUACGCCUCCACCUUAGAGGAUCACUCUUCAUUUCUAGUUAACAAGGUUGGCUCUGUCUGAGGAGGCUUUAACACUACCCAUCGCUGCUGGCAAUCUGGUUUACAGACCAGUCUCAUAAAUUCUUUUUCUUAAGAAAUUAUUUUAUAACCAUUUUGAAAGGCCUAUGUAAAUAUCACUGAAGAACUUUAUCCAAAAAAAAAAAGUUGAGAAAUUACUUACAUGAAAUUGAUGUUGCAAAUAAUGCCUAUCUAUCAAAAUGCAAUUAUGAAUUAUUUUUUAUUUGGGAAUUACCUGAAAAAACUUAGUAAUUUAUUUAGACGUGCAACAAAUCUAUUUAUAUAUUCUACUCAUCUAAAAUAAAGAACACUAACUGUAAUGUGAUUACUGUAGACCCAUUAUCUCAGCCUCUUAAAACAAUCUGCAGUGGUUUUAUAAAAAUAAUGUUUUCACAUCAUGCCAUAAUUCUGUCCAAAGACCGCCAUAUAAAUUCAACUGAAAACGUGUUAAUGCACUGCAUUAACAUAACUAUAACACAUGUUAAUACAUGAAGUCAUAGGACUGAAACGGACUUUUAAAUUUUACAAUUCAUUCUUGUAUUGUCACAAUACACCCGAACAAAUCAGUGGGCUGACGUCCGACACUGCAAAGUUCUUACAGGAACUUUCAGGGUCAAUCUAAACCACAAAUGCCUACAUGAUUUUUUUAUCCCUGUGAUUCCUUAAGAUUUCUUGCUUUAAAGAAAGAAAAAAAGCAAUGUCUAGAUAAGUAAUACAUCUCGUUAGCUUGAAAAAGAUAGUCAUUAAAUGCUUGACACAUAUUUAUCAAUAUAAAUUUCCUGUUGUGGUUAUGUACGUAUAGUUAAAAAAAUUUAAGAUAACAUCAUUUAAACUCAUUUUUUCCAAUGAACAAAGGGAAAUUAGGGAUGUUUAAAGUAUUCCCAUGACAAAUAUCUAAGGCAGAAAAUGUAUCUCAUAUUCACUGGGAUUAAUAAAGCCUUAUUUUGUAAGUUACAUUUGAGACUUUAAAACAGAAUUUAAAAUGCUACUAAAAUGCGAACUGCACUUUAUCCGAUAGAGUCAUUUUCAGGAGUUAUCAAUCUACCUAGGUCUGCUGUCACAUAUACACACAUAUAUAAUCAGUACUAACUGUGAUGUUACAAACCCCAACUUGGUGAAGAUUGGAGACUAUACCGUCCCCAUCAUACUGGCUUGUGUAACCUACCUGGGCAAGUUAUUUAACCUGUCUAUGCAUCAGUUUCACUCUGUCAACCAAAGAUCGUCAGGGUCUCCUCUCCUAAAGCUCUGCAGGGGAUAGUCAGUAAGAGACACGGCGCAUCAGUAACUCAGCAGGGCCUGGCAUGUAGUGGCGCACUAUAUGGCUCCUGAGGCCACAUGACCAUAAUUAGAACACUGCAGGCUCAAUGCGAUGCACAGUGCCAUGAUGACUCUUGAAUACUUAUAAAGUUACAUUCGGACUUUCACUUGCAAAAUUUGUUCUGAAUGGGGAAGAAAAAAAUUGAGGUUCUGAAAUAUCACAAAUUACAUCCAGGGCAAAGUUUCAUGGGGGGAAAAACACACCCUAUUUGUAGUAUUCAUAGAUGAAUACCUAUGUAACUGAAAAGUGGAUCUAUGUUUUUUCAGAAAUAGGAAACAAGGUAAAAAGAAUUUCAGGAUUUUAAGGGAACCUAACGGUAAGAAACCAAAUGACAACUUUUAGUUUUCAGUCUAUUUGAAAUUGUGCCAGGUCCUAAAAGAGAAGAGAAAAAGGGGUAACACAUGUAAUAGGAUUAGAACUACUGAGUCUGAGGGCUCAGUAUAGAGAAUAAGGAAAUAAUCAAAUUCAAUUUUU
rnacentral:lncRNA from 1 species